GGGAAAAAAUCCCAUUUUCUCUCUCCUUCCUACUUUUGACAUUUCUCUGUGCAAAGCUCACAUCUCAAAAAUGGAGCUUACCUCUUUUUCUGAAUUCUCUAAUGGAAGCGGCUCCUGACCUCGGUUCUUCCGCCGUUGAUCGUAGUUUUCUAGCGAAUUCUUACAUCUAAAAAAUGGAGCUUACCUCUGUUUCUCCCUCCCAGUUGUUGUCUUGCAGCUCAUUUAUAUCUCAUUUAACAUUAAUUUAUGAAUUUGGUUGAUUAUAGUAGUUUUGAUUGAACAUGAUUUGGAUAUUGUGCGAAAUUUAGGGGUUUUUUUUUAUGUUUAUGAUUUUGUUGAUUUUUUUUUUUUGGUUUUCAGCAAGAUGACGAGACUUCUUUAAUGGAAGCAAGAGGGUUUUAAUUCUCCUCUCUUUUCUAUGAUUUGUAUUUUUUUUUUGCUUAUCAGGAGCAGUUCGGCCUAAUUCAUGUAAUGAAAGUGGGAAUAGGCAUGCGAGCAAAUAGAUGGAGUUUGGUUGAAUCCGGAAAAUGACACCAAAAUGGGCGAAAGAGGAGAUCUAGAAGAAUAUGGAGGUUUGUGAAUUUGUUCAAACUCGGAGGAGACUAAACGCUUUUUUCAGUUUCUUUUCUCUAAGUUGGGCUUCAUCUGUUCUCCAAUAUUGAAAUAGGCAAGCUUCAACAAUCUUCAAUGGCGGACGAUGAUUACAAUGACAUUGAUAUGGGACUUUGAAGAUUUUAAAUUUCCAUGGCACGAGCACAAUAUUGAAGAUUACGGAACAAGUUCUUCAAGCUAAGAAAUUCUUCAAUAAGCUCAUCGAUAAAGAGGUAUGAGAUGGAGUUCAAUGCAAAAAGUUAAGAACUUUGAGUGGUCAUCAAAUAAGAGCUGGUGUUUUGGCAUAGAGUUCCCGUAUACUUGCCUCUGAAAGUAGAGAUAGGAACAUACUUCAACACGAUCUUCGGGUCUCGAAUUACUAUGUUAGCAAGCUUGUUGGACAUAAAUCUAAGGUGUGUGGGUUAAAAUGGUCUCAUGAUGAUAGGGAGAUUGCAUCAGGAGGCGAUGACAAUCAGCUAUUGGUAUGGAACCAGCAUUCUCAGCAGCCAGUUUUGAAACUGUCUGAGCAUACAGCUGUCGUGAAGGCCAGAGCUUGCAUAUCGUAGAUGUUGCUAUGUUUUUUUUAUGGAAAAUCAUAGCUGUUUCACACAUCCACGAAUAUCAGAUACCUGAAAAUAUGUAUCUAAGGAAACAAAGCAAUUCACAUACAAAGAUGGAACUAUGUGUGUCUUUAAGGUUCGUAUUCACAUUAAUGUGUAGACAAUAUGUAAUGUCCAAAUGUAGAAUCAUACAAGAAAAACCUGUUUUCGAUUCCUUGAAUUCUCACCCCAACCUACCUCCCGAAAUACUUCGUAUAAAAUAAGAAGAAAAAAGGUCUUUUGUCCUUCAUCUGCUUUCUUCUUGGAGUCUAUGACUCUAUAAUGAUGAAAUGUGCUGGCAGUACGAUUGGGAUACAAGUUUUGGGUUUUGCUGGAAUGUACUUUAGUCAAACUUUUGAAGAAACGAUACAUAUGAGUAUCUCAUGAGUCUUUAAAAUAACACCUCUCUUCUUGUUCCAGUGCCUUUACGUUACCACUCCUUAGCCCUUUCUGUUGAACUUCCCAUAACAUUUGGCAUUUUAAAAGGUUUUUUCUAUACUGAUCAAUUCAGAUAGAGAGGUUUUGCUUUAGUUAUAAGCAGCACUUUGAAUUUGAGCUUUGUUGUGGUUUUCUUUAUAUUCAUUUGGGUUAUGAGUAGAGUUUUCUGUUCUAUAUUGAGUAUUGAAUUCGCUCUCCUACAAUAGUUGUAUUAAGCAUAGGCUUUUAUGUUGUUAGAUGUCUGAUGACUUACUGCAAUUUUCUUGGGCAUCAAGUUCUAAGAUGCACAACGGAACUUCUUUUUUUAACCCUGGUUUGCCUGGGGGCAUCUGUUGAAGUACAAUAUGUGUUUAUGGUUUACAUACGAUUUGGUUUUGUAGCUUUGGAUUAUGAAUGUGUGACACUUGAUCUCUCUUUUUUAACCCUUGCUCU